UGAGGAAUAUUGGUCAAUGGGCGAGAGCCUGAACCAGCCAAGUAGCGUGCAGGAUGACGGCCCUAUGGGUUGUAAACUGCUUUUAUGCGGGGAUAAAGUCAGGUACGUGUGCCUUUUUGUAUGUACCGCAUGAAUAAGGGGCCGGCUAAU
rnacentral:rRNA from 1 species